UGCCUCAGCGAGUGGGCACGUGAGGCAGGAGGAUGAGAGAGAGAGAGAGGAAGGAAGGGCUCCCGGUGGCGGCUCUGCACUGGAUCCGCCGAGCUCGGCCCCGGCUGCUCCGCUUCUGGAGCCCUGAAUUAUUACAGCUGGCGUAGCGUGAAGGCGCUUUGAAAUGUGCGGGACUGAAGUGCGGCCGAGCGGCGCCGAGCACCCCCUCCAGCAGCACCAGUGGCAGCAGUAGAAGAAGAGCGGGCGCUCUGGAGCGCAGUUGGAGGACCGACGACGCAUAUAAACAACGCCGGGCUCGGGAGCGGUCGCUAGUGUGGAGCUGCUCCCCGUCUGGCGGCCGGUCGCGUGCGGGGGGCUCGCGGAGCUGCCGGUGAGCGAGCGGAGGCGCCGUCGCCGGUGCCGCUGUCCGAGGUGCUGAACGGCCGCACGCCGAGGAGCCCGCCUUUGUUCGCGUCGUUGCCAGGCGAGGCGACGCGCACGAGCCGCCGCGGACGCCGUGCGGCUCGACACGGGGCGCAGCGCCCCGGCGGCGAACGCGGCGCCCCCCGGCCAGAGUAAAUGGGACCGCACGUCGUCCGAGCGGUCGAAAUAUGGAGAGAUUUGUCCUGCUCGUUCUCGGCUGCCUCGGCGUCCCUCGAGUCACAGCGGGCAGCUGCUACAAACGACUGCACGCACCUACAGGUACCGCCUCGACCUUAACCUGUCGCCUCCCAGCUGAGUGUUGACCUGAGCUGUCGAUCAGCGUGAGAACAGGGAUGUGGCACACAUCAACAUGUGAGCCGUCCGCACGGACGCUGACUGUCUGUCGGCGGCUGGCGAAGCCCGCUACCCACGGGGCCCAAAACCUGACUGUAACGGGCUGCCGCGGGCCACGAACGCAGCGCUGCGCUGCUGGGCAGCGCCGGUGAUCCUCUCACGCAGGCAGAUCCAUGGAAACGCCACCGAUGCGUGUUACGCUGGCGAGAGAGAGAGGGAGAGAGAGAGAGAGAGAGAGAGAGCCUUCGCUCGCCCCUGCACACAUGCUGCUUGUGUUGCAUCUAUAAAACAUGCUUUUUUAGACACUAAGGUGCACACAAACUAUGAGCACUUACUAUGAUGGAGUGCCACACGUGGGUCAUAAACCCCCCCCCCCCCCCCCUCUGGUUCAGUCGCCGCCCACACACUCCUCAAUCUUUCCCCCCUACAAUAAGUCACCGUGUUAUUCUCUUACUCAUCACUUAUAUUUACUGCGAUCCAGGCUACUGACACCUACAAUUUUCUUGUGUUCUCUGUUGGUUUUGGGUGUGUGUUUUCGAUCAGUUGGGAAUAAAGGACUGUUUGUACAGUAAUAGAGGUUAAAAGACGCGUGUGCAGCAAAGAGAUGGUAAUAUGACUCCAGCCAAGCUUUCAUCAGACGUUGGAGCAUGUUUAUGGGCUUAUAAACAGCACGUAUCAUGUGUGUACUGUGCGUUGUGGG